UACAGAGGUGGCAAGCGUUGUUCGGAAUUACUGGGCGUAAAGGGCGCGUAGGCGGCCUUGUCAGUCAGACGUGAAAUCCCCAGGCUUAACCUGGGAACUGCGUCUGAUACUACAAGGCUUGAGUGCGGGAGAGGGAUGUGGAAUUCCGGGUGUAGUGGUGAAAUGCGUAGAUAUCCGGAGGAAUACCAGUGGCGAAGGCGGCACGCUGGGCCAUAACUGACGCUAAGACGCGAAAGCAUGGGUAGCGAACGGG
rnacentral:rRNA from 1 species